rnacentral:lncRNA from 1 species
CCAUCACCCACGUCAUCGUCCCCAAGCAGCUGGGAGGCCCCGACUCCUGCACCACGGAGAACGAGGAGGAGCUCUUUGUCAUCCAGGACCAGCAUGGCCUCGUCACCCUGGGCUGGAUCCAUACCCACCCCACCCAGACAGCCUUCCUGUCCAGCGUGGACCUGCACACCCACUGCUCCUACCAGAUGAUGCUGCCGGAGUCCAUCGCCAUCGUGUGCUCUCCCAAAUACCAGGAGUGAGUAUGGAUUGCAGGAGAGAGGGCUGGGGAGGCUCUUCCCUCUGCCUGGGCUGUCAGCCACACCUUUCCUCUCUGAGAUCCCUGGCACAGGGGUGGGGAAUGUCACAGUGUGACUGGACAGCUCCUGUCAGCUGUGGCUGGCAGGGCUUGUCCA